GCCCCCCCCCCCCCCUCCACACACACACACACACACAAACAAAGAGGCGUUAGGCUGAGACGCUGAAAGUCCGGAUUUAAAGUGCAGAAAAUUAAGCCAUUGAAUCUGCCUGUCCAUGACGUACAAAGACACACUAUGAGCCAGUAUGAUCCGACCAGACCUUACAUCAGCAUUGAGGAGUUGUCGGAGAAGAAAGAGGCUGAUUGAAGCGGGACAGAUGACAUGGAUCCAUCCUUCCACAGCCAGGAGCGCACCGACCUGUGUCCCACACUUCAUAUAAGACUGGAAGCUACACUGAUCUCACAGCUACACACCACAGACGUCUACACACUGGAGAAGAGUCCCACAAAGAAGUCAUUACCCAGAGGCUGCAGAGAAACAUUUCAAGCCUCAUCUGAGUUUUUGUACAAUAUUUUUGCUGUAUGUAAAUAAAGCUUUCACUCCACAUA